UACGUAGGGUGCGAGCGUUGUCCGGAAUUAUUGGGCGUAAAGGGCUCGUAGGCGGUUUGUCGCGUCGGGAGUGAAAACUCAGGGCUUAACCCUGAGCCUGCUUCCGAUACGGGCAGACUGGGGGUAUGCAGGGGAGAACGGAAUUCCUGGUGUAGCGGUGAAAUGCGCAGAUAUCAGGAGGAACACCGGUGGCGAAGGCGGUUCUCUGGGCAUUACCUGACGCUGAGGAGCGAAAGUGUGGGGAGCGAACAGG
rnacentral:rRNA from 1 species